CUGUGUGAAGAAGGCCUUGUGCGUUUGUAAAGCACUUUAAGCGACGAGGAUGCUACCUAUAUACGUACCUCUGUGGAUACUUGGACGUUACUCGCAGCAACUAAGCACCAGGCUAACUCUGUGCCAGCAGCCGCGGUAAUACAGAGGGUGCGAGCGUUAAUCGGAUUUACUGGGCGUAAAGCGUGCGUAGGCGGCUUUUUAAGUCGGAUGUGAAAUCCCCGAGCUUAACUUGGGAAUGGCGCCUGUGACUGUAUGGCUAGAGUGUGUCAGAGGGGGGUAGAAUUCCACGUGUAGCAGUGAAAUGCGUAGAUAUGUGGAGGAAUACCAAUGGCGAAGGCAGCCCCCUGGGAUAACACUGACGCUCAUGCACGAAAGCGUGGGGAGCAAACAGGAUUAGAUACCCUGGUAGUCCACGCCCUAAACGAUGCUGACUAGUUGUUCGGGAUUUACAUCCUGAGUAACGUAGCUAACGCGUGAAGUCAGCCGCCUGGGGAGUACGGUCGCCAGAUUAACACUCAAAGGAAUUGACGGGGACCCGCACCAGCGGCGGAUGAUGUGGACUUAUUCCCAUGCCAACGCGACAAACCUUACCUACCCUUGACCUGUCCCUACCGAA
rnacentral:rRNA from 1 species